AUUGAACGCUGGCGGCAUGCCUUACACAUGCAAGUCGAACGGUAACAGGGAGCUUGCUCCGCUGACGAGUGGCGAACGGGUGAGUAAUGUAUCGGAACGUACCAUUCAGUGGGGGAUAACGUAGCGAAAGUUACGCUAAUACCGCAUAUUCUGUGAGCAGGAAAGCAGGGGAUCGCAAGACCUUGCGCUGAUUGAGCGGCCGAUAUCAGAUUAGCUAGUUGGUGAGGUAAAGGCUCACCAAGGCGACGAUCUGUAGCGGGUCUGAGAGGAUGAUCCGCCACACUGGAACUGAGACACGGUCCAGACUCCUACGGGAGGCAGCAGUGGGGAAUUUUGGACAAUGGGGGCAACCCUGAUCCAGCCAUGCCGCGUGAGUGAAGAAGGCCUUCGGGUUGUAAAGACUCUUUCGGCCGGGAAGAAAUACGCGCAGGUUAAUAACCUGUGUGGAGUGACGGUACCGGAAGUAAGAAGCACCGGCUAACUACGUGCCACG
rnacentral:rRNA from 1 species